AGUCUGAUAACCCAAGUGAGC
rnacentral:piRNA from 1 species